UACGUAGGGUGCGAGCGUUGUCCGGAAUUAUUGGGCGUAAAGGGCGCGUAGGCGGUGUGUCAAGUCAGGCGUGAAAGCCCCGGGCUCAACCUGGGAACAGCGCUUGAGACUGGCACGCUCGAGUUCGGGAGAGGAUGGUGGAAUUCCCCAGUGUAGAGGUGAAAUUCGUAGAUAUUGGGAAGAACACCGAUGGCGAAGGCAGCCAUCUGGACCGACACUGACGCUGAGGCGCGAAAGCGUGGGUAGCAAACAGG
rnacentral:rRNA from 1 species